rnacentral:rRNA from 1 species
UGAGCGACCUACCUAAUUGUGGGAGAUAGCCGGCCCAACGGCCGGGUAAUACCGCAUACGAUCGGAGAGGGGCAUCCCUAUCUGAGGAAAGCCUUCGGGCGCAAUUUGAGGGGCUCGCGGCCUAUCAGCUAGUUGGCGGGGUAACGGCCCACCAAGGCGACGACGGGUAGCUGGUCUGAGAGGAUGGCCAGCCACAUUGGGACUGAGAUACGGCCCAGACUCCUACGGGAGC